rnacentral:rRNA from 1 species
AAUUUUGGACAAUGGGGGCAACCCUGAUCCAGCCAUCCCGCGUGUGCGAUGAAGGCCUUCGGGUUGUAAAGCACUUUUGGCAGGGAAGAAAAGGCGCUGGUUAAUACCUUGCGCCGCUGACGGUACCUGCAGACUAAGCACCGGCUAACUACGUGACAGCCGCCGCGGUAAUACGUAGGGUGCAAGCGUUAAUCGGAAUUACUGGGCGUAAAGCGUGCGCAGGCGGUUCGGAAAGAAGGAUGUGAAAUCCCGGGGCUUAACCUCGGAACUGCAUUCUUAACUGCCGGGCUAGAGUAUGUCAGAGGGGGGUAGAAUUCCGCGUGUAGCAGUGAAAUGCGUAGAUAUGCGGAGGAACACCGAUGGCGAAGGCAGCCUCCUGGGAUAACACCGACGCUCAUGCACGAAAGCGUGGGGAGCAAACAG